rfam:Camelus ferus unplaced genomic scaffold scaffold1006, whole genome shotgun sequence.
GAGCAUAUAGCUCAGUGGUAGAGCAUAGGUUUAGCAUGCAUGAAGUCCUGGGUUCAAUCCCCAGUACCUCCA